ACGCUCGACACCUACGGGAGGCAGCAGUGAGGAAUAUUGGUCAAUGGGCGCUAGCCUGAACCAGCCAAGUAGCGUGAAGGAUGAAGGCUCUAUGGGUCGUAAACUUCUUUUAUAUAAGAAUAAAGUGCAGUAUGUAUACUGUUUUGUAUGUAUUAUAUGAAUAAGGAUCGGCUAACUCCGUGCCAACAGCCGCGGUAAUCUGAGGCGGGCUGGCAAGGC
rnacentral:rRNA from 1 species